UAACUAGGAAUCUUGACAAGGGGAGGGACCAACAGACACUGUAUGUAGGCAUCAAGUGGCCUAGAAAUCAGGAAGCCCCCCCAGGUAGUGGUUAGCUUGGGGCUGGAGUGAGGGCUACAUACUGUGUUUCCCUGAAAAUAAGACAGGGUCUUAUAUUCAUUUUUGCUCCAAGAAACACAUUAGGGCUUAUUUCAGGGGAAGUUUUAUUUUUUCAUGUAUUCUCUUCUGGUUGCUGCACAAUGGUGGAGGGAGGAGUUUCACUUAACUAGGGCUUGUUUUUGGGGUAGGGCUUAUAUUGCGAGCAUCCUGAAAAACCAUACUAGGGCUUAUUUUCAGGUUAGGUCUUGUUUUCGGGGAAACAGUAUAGGCACAGGAAAUAGUGAUGCAGCAGAGGAUUGUGGGAAGGAAACACUGUCAACGGACACAAUAAAAGAAAAGAAGGAAGGGGAGCCCCUGAUAGGCCACGCAGAAACUCACAGACAAGCAGAGGAGGAAAAAAAAUGUUUACCAGCCAAAAUCACAGCUGUUGCUAGCGCUGGAGGCCUAGCCAGAAAUGACUGUUUUCUUGAAACAGACAGAAGCACAGAGACACACGGAUGUGCCAAUCCAGAGCUGGGAAUUUAGCUGCUCAGUGGCUUCUUUUGUCCCGGUUUUCCCCUGAACUUCCUGCCACAGCCAAGCAAUACCAAAGAUAAAGCGGGAGAAAGGAAUUCAGGGGGGCCAAUACAAAGAGAGACAAUGAUCAUUUCCCAUUGGGGAUAGGGAGGAGAAAAUAAUAUGCAAAAAGAGAGAGGGCAUUAAGACCUCUUUUGCUUUCUUGAAAAAAGGAUUGGAGUAAAAUAUAAAAUUAUCCCCAUACACAUGAAAUAUUUGGAACGACGGCCCGAUUAUCCCCUGGUCUUGGGGGUGGACUGUGUUCGGGAAGGCUAGAAGGCAGAGCCAGCUUGGGGGGGAGUGGGGAAAUGGGAGAUUCUUGGCCUCCCUGCCUCUCUGCUGUGAUGUAACUAUGACCACUCACAGAGUCAAAAUACCAAGCACUGUUAUAAAGUUUUAUAGUCCUUUUAGGACUUUGUUUGAGUGUCCUAUUUUUGACCAUGACAGAUAGAUGUAAAAUCUGGAGAGUAAUGACAGAGAACACCAACCCCUCCCCCCAAAAUCAUCUGAUAUAUUGUUCUGGAGGAUAACUUUUCAGAUGGCACCAUUUAGCACCAUGAAUGGAUGCUAAAUCAAAUCAGGGAGCCAGUGGGACUCAGCAGACCUGGGUUCAAAUUCCCACUGAGACAUGGAGCCUUAUUGGAGGCUGGUAACAAUAAAACCACUCAUUAACUAUCUCA
rnacentral:lncRNA from 1 species